GAUGAACGCUGGCGGCGUGCCUAAUACAUGCAAGUCGAGCGGACGGACGAGAAGCUUGCUUCUCUGUUGUUAGCCGCGGACGGGUGAGUCACACGUGUAUACCCUCCCUAUCAGUCGGGGAUCACCUCGGAAAUCCGGCGCUAAUCCCGUAUAAUCUUUUGCACCGCGUUGUUCAUAGGUAAAUGUCGGUCUUGCUGUCUCUUAUCGAUGCAUCUGGGCUGCAUUAGCUAGUUGGGGAGGUAACGGCUUACCAAGGCUACGAUGCCUAGCCGACGUGACAGGGUGAUCGGCCACACGAGAGCGGAGACACGGUCCAGGGGACUGAGGGAGGCAGCAGUAGGGAAUCUGAGGCAAUGGGCGAAAGUCUGACGGAGUAACGCGGCGUGAGUGAUGAAGGUCUUCGGAGCGGAAAACUCGGUUACGAGGGAAGAACAGAUGUGGAAGGAACUGUGGAGAGCGUGACGGUACUGAAUCAGAAAGCCACGGCUAACUACGUG
rnacentral:rRNA from 1 species